GACGAACGCUGGCGGCGUGCUUAACACAUGCAAGUCGAACGGUGAAGGUGGAGCUUGCUCCGCCGGAUCAGUGGCGAACGGGUGAGUAACACGUGGGCAACCUGCCCCUGACUUCGGGAUAACUCCUCGAAAGAGGUGCUAAUACCGGAUACGAAUCCUGCAGGCAUCUGCGGGAUUGGAAAGUUUUUCGGUCAGGGAUGGGCCCGCAGCCUAUCAGCUUGUUGGUGAGGUAGUGGCUCACCAAGGCGACGACGGGUAGCAGGCCUGAGAGGGCGACCGGCCACACUGGGACUGAGACACGGCCCAGACUCCUACGAGAAGCAGCAGUGGGGAAUAUUGCGGAAUGGGCGAAAGCCAGGCGCAGCAACGCCGCGUGAGGGAUGACGGCCUUCGGGUUGUAAACCUCUUUCAGCAGGGAAGAAGCGAAAGUGACGGUACCUGCAGAAGAAGCACCGGCUAACUACGUGCCAGCCGCCGCGGUAA
rnacentral:rRNA from 1 species